rnacentral:rRNA from 1 species
AGAGUUUGAUCCUGGCUCAGGAUGAACGCUGGCUACAGGCUUAACACAUGCAAGUCGAGGGGAAACGAUAUUGAAAGCUUGCUUUCGAUAGGCGUCGACCGGCGCACGGGUGAGUAACGCGUAUCCAACCUGCCCAUAACUAAGGGAUAAUCCGUAGAAAUGCGGUCUAAUACCUUAUGUGAUCCGAGGAAGACAUCUGAUUUGGAUUAAAGAUUUAUCGGUUAUGGAUGGGGAUGCGUCUGAUUAGAUUGUUGGCGGGGCAACGGCCCACCAAGUCUGCGAUCAGUAGGGGUUCUGAGAGGAAGGUCCCCCACAUUGGAACUGAGACACGGUCCAAACUCCUACGGGAGGCAGCAGUGAGGAAUAUUGGUCAAUGGGCGGAAGCCUGAACCAGCCAAGUAGCGUGCAGGAUGACGGCCCUAUGGGUUGUAAACUGCUUUUGCAGGGGGAUAAAGUGAGUCACGUGUGACUUAUUGCAGGUACCCUGCGAAUAAGGACCGGCUAAUUCCGUGCCAGCAGCCGCGGUAAUACGGAAGGUCCGGGCGUUAUCCGGAUUUAUUGGGUUUAAAGGGAGCGUAGGCCGUGGAUUAAGUGUGUUGUGAAAUGUAGGCGCUCAACGUCUGACUUGCAGCGCAUACUGGUUCACUAGAGUGCGCGCAACGCGGGCGGAAUUUGUCGUGUAGCGGUGAAAUGCUUAGAUAUGACGAAGAACCCCGAUUGCGAAGGCAGCUCGCGGGAGCGCAACUGACGCUGAAGCUCGAAAGUGCGGGUAUCGAACAGGAUUAGAUACCCUGGUAGUCCGCACGGUAAACGAUGGAUGCCCGCUUUACGGCCUUCAGGCCGUGAGGCCAAGUGAAAACAUUAAGCAUCCCACCUGGGGAGUACGCCGGCAACGGUGAAACUCAAAGGAAUUGACGGGGGCCCG